rnacentral:sRNA from 1 species
UUGCUGGGCAGUGGUGUGGGAACAGUGCGUCUCUAUGACACGGAAGCCAAGAAGAAUCUCUGUGAAAUCAAUAUCAACGACGACAUGCCCAGAAUCCUGUCUCUUGCGUGCAGCCCCAACGGGGCCUCUUUCGUCUGUUCGGCAGCAGCUCCGAGCCUCACUUCCCAGGUGGACUUCUCAGCACCAGACAUCGGCAGCAAGGGCAUGAACCAGGUUCCUGGCAGGCUGCUGCUGUGGGACACGAAAACCAUGAAGCAGCAGCUCCAGUUCUCCCUGGAUCCAGAACCCAUUGCUAUCAACUGUACAGCCUUCAAUCACAACGGGAACCUGCUGGUCACAGGGGCAGCUGAUGGCGUCAUCCGGCUGUUUGACAUGCAGCAGCAUGAGUGCGCGAUGAGCUGGAGGGCCCACUACGGGGAGGUCUACUCUGUGGAGUUCAGCUAUGAUGAGAACACCGUGUACAGCAUCGGCGAGGACGGGAAGGUAGGCGGCUGCAGGAUUCA